rnacentral:lncRNA from 1 species
UGCAUGCAAACGCUGUCUCCGACGACAAGAUGGUGAGCCGCGCUCGCGCCCCCACACUACACGCAAACCCUGUCUCCGAUGACAAGAUGGUGAGCCGCACUUGCUUCCCCCUCUCCUACUAGUAAUUUGAAGUUAACCGGUGCCUAAUGACUUGAAGUUAGUCACAAUCUUUAAUCUAGUCAUGUGAAUUAGCUAGAGCGCUUACUGAAUUACCUGACGUGUAUGUGCAAGAAAUUACAUGGUGUCUAUAUGUCCUUGGACUUUCUAAUCACUGCGGUCUCUUGUGGCAGAUGGACGGGAAUGAGAUGGCGCCGGUCCAGGGGGUGCCGCCCAUGUGGGGGAGCAUCGCGGCUUCAAGCUCGGUUGGUAAGUACUCCAUAGUGGUUUUCUGUCAGUAUCACGGCUGUUUUUUAUCAUCAUUAUUAUAAUGAUAUUGGACUCAAGCUGGUAGCUCUCUUCAUGCUGGAUUUUUGGCAUCAUUAGUAUACUGAUAUUGGACUGAAGCUGGUUAGCUCCUUCCAUGCUAGAUUUUUCGCAUCAUUAGUAUAUUGAUAUUGGACUGAAGCUUGUUAGCUCUGUCCAUACUCAGUUUUUUUUGUCAUCAUUAGUAUAGUGAUAUAUUGGACUGAAGCUGCACAUGUUUUGUUUCCAUUAACGUUGGUCUAGCAGUGCUACGCGCCAGUCGACCUAUCGUGGCCG